rnacentral:tRNA from 1 species
GGGCUGUUGGCGCAGUGGUAGCGCAUCUGCAUGACACGCAGGGGGUCACUGGUUCAAAUCCAGUACAGCCCA